rnacentral:rRNA from 1 species
GUGAAGCGGCAAAGCUAAAUCGAAAUCUGGUACCUCUGGUGCCGAGUCGUAAUUNGGAGAGGGCAAUUUGGGACCGUUCCUNGUCUAUGUUCCUCGGAACAGGACGUCAUAGAGGGUGAGAAUCCCGUGUGGCGAGGAGUGCGGUUCUAGUAAAGUGCCUUCGAAGAGUCGAGUUGUUUGGGAAUGCAGCUCUAAGUGGGUGGUAAAUUCCAUCUAAAGCUAAAUAUUGGCGAGAGACCGAUAGCGAACAAGUACAGUGAUGGAAAGAUGAAAAGAACUUUGAAAAGAGAGUGAAAAAGUACGUGAAAUUGUUGAAAGGGAAGGGCAUUUGAUCAGACAUGGUGUUUUGCGCCCUCUGCUCCUUGUGGGUGGGGGAAUCUCGCAGUUCACUGGGCCAGCAUCAGUUUUGGUGGCAGGAUAAAUCCGUAGGAAUGUAACUUGCUUCGGGAAGUAUUAUAGCCUAUGGGAAUACUGCCAGCUGGGACUGAGGACUGCGACGUAAGUCAAGGAUGCUGGCAUAAUGGUUAUAUGCCGCCCGUCUU